GUGUCAGCAGCCGCGGUAAUACGUAGGGUGCGAGCGUUAAUCGGAAUUACUGGGCGUAAAGCGUGCGCAGGCGGUUGUGUAAGACAGGUGUGAAAUCCCCGGGCUUAACCUGGGAACUGCACUUGUGACUGCACGGCUUGAGUGCGGCAGAGGGGGAUGGAAUUCCGCGUGUAGCAGUGAAUGCGUAGAUAUGCGGAGGAACACCGAUGGCGAAGGCAAUCCCCUGGGAUAACACUGACGCUCAUGCACGAAAGCGUGGGGAGCAAACAGGAUUAGAUACCCCCGUAGUCC
rnacentral:rRNA from 1 species